AUGUACCAAGAGAAAGACGACCUACUUUUUUUCCAAUCAAAUAAUAGUUACAGUAAGUCAAUCGCAAUUGAAAGAAGUAACUUCUCAACGGCAAGUGCACUUACUUCGUUUCCAGAGCGAGGUGGAAUUCCAACCAGGCAAAAGACAUAUUUAAUCCAGGCUGAAUCACAUCCGGCCGUGAUUGGGAGUCCCAUAGUUCGGCGCACAAUUGGCACAGCGUCGUCUGGGAGCGCUGUGCUAGACAUCUGUGGGAGAAUCAUCACGCCAGGAGCAAGAGUGUGUGUGUGCUGCACGUGGUCGCUGGAGCAGACACACUCCAAUGCUGAUGUUAGCCGACAUUCCCCUCAGGCCAGAGAAUGGAGCAUGCGUGGAGACAGUUGUCGUCAUCGCACCCCCAACCCCCCCCCCCACACACACACACACACAUACACAUACACACACUGUGAGUCAUUAUGUAAUAGCGUUGCAUGA
rnacentral:lncRNA from 13 species